GGGUCGUUAGCUCAGUCGGUAGAGCAGUUGACUCUCACAGGUUCGAACCCUGUACGGUCCGCUA
rnacentral:tRNA from 1 species